rnacentral:rRNA from 1 species
AGUGAACGCUGGCGGUAGGCCUAACACAUGCAAGUCGAACGGCAGCACAGUAAUAGCUUGCUCUUACGGGUGGCGAGUGGCGGACGGGUGAGGAAUACAUCGGAAUCUACUUUUUCGUGGGGGAUAACGUAGGGAAACUUACGCUAAUACCGCAUACGACCUACGGGUGAAAGCAGUGGAUCUUCGGACCUUGCGCGAUUGAAUGAGCCGAUGUCGGAUUAGCUAGUUGGCGGGGUAAAGGCCCACCAAGGCGACGAUCCGUAGCUGGUCUGAGAGGAUGAUCAGCCACACUGGAACUGAGACACGGUCCAGACUACUACGGGAGGCAGCAGUGGGGAAUAUUAGACAAAGGGCGCAAGCCUGAUCCAGCCAUACCGCGUGGGUGAAGAAGGCCUUCGGGUUGUAAAGCCCUUUUGUUGGGAAAGAAAAGCAGCAGGUUAAUACCCCGCUGUUCUGACGGUACCCAAAGAAUAAGCACCGGCUAACUUCGUG